rnacentral:rRNA from 1 species
CCUACGGGGGGCAGCAGUAGGGAAUAUUGCUCAAUGGGGGAAACCCUGAAGCAGCAACGCCGCGUGGAGGAUGAAGGUUUUCGGAUUGUAAACUCCUUUUGUUAUGGAAGUUAAUGACGGUAUCUAACGAAUAAGCACCGGCUAACUCCGUGCCAGCACCCGCGGUAAUACGGAGGGUGCCAGCGUUACUCGGAAUCACUGGGCGUAAAGAGCGCGGAGGGGGGAUAGCAAGUCAGAUGUGAAAUCCUAUGGCUUAACCAUAGAACUGCAGUUGAAACUGUUAUUCUUGAGUAUGGGAGAGGUAGGUGGAAUGCGUGGGGUAGGGGUAAAAUGCGUAGAGAUCAAGAGGAAUACUCAUUGCGAAGGCGACCUGCUAGAACAUAACUGACGCUGAUGCGCGAAAGCGUGGGGAGCAAACAGGAUUAGAUACCCCUGUAGUC